UACGUAGGUGGCAAGCGUUGUCCGGAUUUAUUGGGUUUAAAGGGUGCGUAGGCGGUCUAUUAAGUCAGGGGUGAAAGACGGUUGCUCAACAAUCGCAGUGCCUUUGAUACUGGUGGUCUUGGGUGACCUUGAGGUAGGCGGAAUGGGUGGUGUAGCGGUGAAAUGCAUAGAUACCACCCAGAACUCCGAUUGCGAAGGCAGCCUACUGGAGGUUUACCGACGCUCAGGCACGAAAGCGUGGGGAUCAAACAGG
rnacentral:rRNA from 1 species